CCUCCCCGGCACACCUGGACUCGAUUCCUGCCCCCCCAAAUAAAGCCCAGGUGUGAUCCAGGUGUGCCCAGGUGUGCUCCAGGUGUGUCCAUGUCUAUCCAGGUGCGCCCAGGUGCGCCCAGGUGCGCUCAGGGGGGCGGCAGGAGGGGCGUGGGCACACCUGGCACCCCCGGAACCGCACAGGUGACCCCUCCAGGUGUGUCCACGUCCAUCCAGGUGUAUCCAGGUGUGUCCACGUCCAUCCAGGUGCACCCAGGGCGGGGUCAGGAGGGGCGUGGGCACACCUGGCAGCCCCGGAACCGCACAGGUGAC
rnacentral:lncRNA from 1 species